rnacentral:rRNA from 1 species
AUUGAACGCUGGCGGCAGGCUUAACACAUGCAAGUCGAGCGAGAGGCGGACGGGUGAGUAAUGGCUGGGAAACUGCCUGAUGGAGGGGGAUAACUACUGGAAACGGUAGCGAAUACCGCAUACCAUCAGAUGUGCCCAGCUGGGAUUAGCUAGUAGGUGGGGUAAUGGCUCACCUAGGCGACGAUCCCUAGCUGGCCUGAGAGGAUGACCAGCCACACUGGAACUGAGACACGGUCCAGACUCCUACGGGAGGCAGCAGUGGGGAAUAUUCAGCAAUGGGCGCAAGCCUGACGCAGCCAUGCCGCGUGUGUGAAGAAGGCCUUCGGGUUGUAAAGCACUUUUAGCGAGGAGGCGUUACUCACAGAAGAAGCACCGGCUAACUCCGUGCCAGCAGCCGCGGUAAUUC